rnacentral:rRNA from 1 species
GACGAACGCUGGCGGCGUGCCUAAUACAUGCAAGUCGAACGCUUCUUUCCUCCCGAGUGCUUGCACUCGAUUGGAAAGAGGAGUGGCGGACGGGUGAGUAACACGUGGGUAACCUACCCAUCAGAGGGGGAUAACACUUGGAAACAGGUGCUAAUACCGCAUAACAGUUUAUGCCGCAUGGCAUAAGAGUGAAAGGCGCUUUCGGGUGUCGCUGAUGGAUGGACCCGCGGUGCAUUAGCUAGUUGGUGAGGUAACGGCUCACCAAGGCCACGAUGCAUAGCCGACCUGAGAGGGUGAUCGGCCACACUGGGACUGAGACACGGCCCAGACCCCUACGGGAGGCAGCAGUAGGGAAUCUUCGGCAAUGGACGAAAGUCUGACCGAGCAACGCCGCGUGAGUGAAGAAGGUUUUCGGAUCGUAAAACUCUGUUGUUAGAGAAGAACAAGGACGUUAGUAACUGAACGUCCCCUGACGGUAUCUAACCAGAAAGCCACGGCUAACUACGUGCCAGCAGCCGCGGUAAUACGUAGGUGGCAAGCGUUGUCCGGAUUUAUUGGGCGUAAAGCGAGCGCAGGCGGUUUCUUAAGUCUGAUGUGAAAGCCCCCGGCUCAACCGGGGAGGGUCAUUGGAAACUGGGAGACUUGAGUGCAGAAGAGGAGAGUGGAAUUCCAUGUGUAGCGGUGAAAUGCGUAGAUAUAUGGAGGAACACCAGUGGCGAAGGCGGCUCUCUGGUCUGUAACUGACGCUGAGGCUCGAAAGCGUGGGGAGCAGACAGGAUUAGAUACCCUGGUAGUCCACGCCGUAAACGAUGAGUGCUAAGUGUUGGAGGGUUUCCGCCCUUCAGUGCUGCAGCAAACGCAUUAAGCACUCCGCCUGGGGAGUACGACCGCAAGGUUGAAACUCAAAGGAAUUGACGGGGGCCCGCACAAGCGGUGGAGCAUGUGGUUUAAUUCGAAGCAACGCGAAGAACCUUACCAGGUCUUGACAUCCUUUGACCACUCUAGAGAUAGAGCUUUCCCUUCGGGGACAAAGUGACAGGUGGUGCAUGGUUGUCGUCAGCUCGUGUCGUGAGAUGUUGGGUUAAGUCCCGCAACGAGCGCAACCCUUAUUGUUAGUUGCCAUCAUUUAGUUGGGCACUCUAGCGAGACUGCCGGUGACAAACCGGAGGAAGGUGGGGAUGACGUCAAAUCAUCAUGCCCCUUAUGACCUGGGCUACACACGUGCUACAAUGGGAAGUACAACGAGUCGCUAGACCGCGAGGUCAUGCAAAUCUCUUAAAGCUUCUCUCAGUUCGGAUUGCAGGCUGCAACUCGCCUGCAUGAAGCCGGAAUCGCUAGUAAUCGCGGAUCAGCACGCCGCGGUGAAUACGUUCCCGGGCCU